AACGAACGCUGGCGGCAUGCCUAACACAUGCAAGUCGAACGAACUCUUCGGAGUUAGUGGCGCACGGGUGCGUAACGCGUGGGAAUCUGCCCUUGGGUACGGAAUAACUCAGAGAAAUUUGUGCUAAUACCGUAUAAUGACUUCGGUCCAAAGAUUUAUCGCCCAAGGAUGAGCCCGCGUAAGAUUAGCUAGUUGGUGGGGUAAAAGCCUACCAAGGCGACGAUCUUUAGCUGGUCUGAGAGGAUGAUCAGCCACACUGGGACUGAGACACGGCCCAGACUCCUACGGGAGGCAGCAGUGGGGAAUAUUGGACAAUGGGCGAAAGCCUGAUCCAGCAAUGCCGCGUGAGUGAUGAAGGCCUUAGGGUUGUAAAGCUCUUUACCCGGGAUGAUAAUGACAGUACCGGGAGAAUAAGCUCCGGCUAACUCCGUGCCAGCAGCCGCGGUAAU
rnacentral:rRNA from 1 species